UACGAAGGGUGCAAGCGUUAAUCGGAAUUACUGGGCGUAAAGCGUACGCAGACGGUGAGAAAGGUCGGAUGUGAAAGCCCCGGGCUCAACCCGGGAACUGCAUCCGAAACCAUCUCGCUAGAGUAUGAGAGAGGGAAGCGGAAUUCCUGGUGUAGAGGUGAAAUUCGUAGAUAUCAGGAGGAACACCGGCGGCGAAGGCGGCUUCCUGGCUCAUUACUGACGUUCAGGUACGAAAGCGUGGGUAGCAAACAGG
rnacentral:rRNA from 1 species